rnacentral:lncRNA from 1 species
ACAGUGACCUGCUCAAAGGGUUCCAGGACUCUGCACACCUCCUCCACCACCUCCCAUUCCUCUUGGGUCAGAGCAUCAACAGUUCCUAAGCCAAGUUCUCUGAGGUUUGUCUGUUGCUGAACUCAAACCAGUCCAGAAGACAGCUAGACAUAUAAAAAUCUUCAAUGAAGUGACAUGUAACCGACAUGUAAGAAGUGGUUACCCUUGAUGUCCAGCAGUCAGUGGACCUGAGCCCUAGGACCAUGCCUCAGGACUACCUGGCAUGAUGACUCCUUGCUGUCCCCAGUCCACCUGGCUGUGCUGCUGCUCCAGUUUGAACUGUUCUGCCUGCGGCUAUGGAACCCUGACCUGCUCACCGGACGUGCUACCUGUCCCAGACCUGCUGUUUUCAACUCUCUAGCGACAGCAGGAGCGGUAGAGAUACUCUCAAAGAUCGGCUAUGAAAAAGCCAACUGACACUUACUCUUGUGUUGCUGACUUGUUGCACCCUCGACAACUACUAUGAUUAUUAUUAUUU